rnacentral:lncRNA from 1 species
UAAUUGAUUAAAAAAAUAUACAAUUUGUAAUUAAUCUUUAUCAGGCACCACAAAAGAGUUGUUAUCUUACCGUACCAAGAAAGCUACAAUUUAAAAAUUAAUAAAUAAAAUUCCAAACAAUUCUGUCUGCUAAGUUACUAAAGUUAAAGUUUUUUUAAAGACAAGAACUACAUUUUGCUGUCAUAUUUUCCAUAGUCAAAAUUGAUAUUUAUCACUCAUGCAUUUUUUUUCUGAAAUUAUUCAGAAUCCCCCCUGGAUCCACGACUGCAACAAAUGUCAUCUGCAUCCAUUUCCACAUCAAUUUGGAUAUAUAUUUCAGAAAGGUUUACACCACUUAAAAACAUAGCACAACAACUGAAUAGUUAUAUCAAAAUCUUA